GCAAUCUUAAUUCUGAAUUCUGAUUUGUAUAUGAAGGGCAGCUGAAACCGAAGGAAUCAAUGUGUUGGUUAAAGUGAAGCUUACUGGGAAACUAGUUUGAAUACCAAGUUACACAAACACAGCCGUGCACAUAUUGGUACUACCAUUUGCUUUUUAAUUACUACUGCGGGUACUUUUUUCGAUUCAUUGUCAGCUUCAGAUUUUGUUUCUCAUAAAUCUGCUAAGAAUUAAAAAAAAAUUACUAAAAUAAUAUGCUAGCUAGCUGACUUAUAUCGAAAAUAACACCGUAACGUUAUUU
rnacentral:lncRNA from 1 species